GACGAACGCUGGCGGCGUGCUUAACACAUGCAAGUCGAACGGAAAGGCCCUGCUUUUGUGGGGUGCUCGAGUGGCGAACGGGUGAGUAACACGUGAGUAACCUGCCCUUGACUUUGGGAUAACUUCAGGAAACUGGGGAUAAUACCGGAUAGGAGCUCCUGCUGCAUGGUGGGGGUUGGAAAGUUUCGGCGGUUGGGGAUGGACUCGCGGCUUAUCAGCUUGUUGGUGGGGUAGUGGCUUACCAAGGCUUUGACGGGUAGCCGGCCUGAGAGGGUGACCGGCCACAUUGGGACUGAGAUACGGCUCGGACUCCUACGGGAGGCAGCAGUGGGGAAGAUUGCACAAUGGGCGGAAGCCUGAUGCAGCAACGCCGCGUGCGGGAUGACGGCCUUCGUGUUGUAAACCGCUUUCGCCUGUGACGAAGCGUGAGUGACGGUAAUGGGUAAAGAAGCACCGGCUAACUACGUG
rnacentral:rRNA from 1 species